rnacentral:misc_RNA from 1 species
GUAUUGAUUGCGUGUGAUCGCAAAAGUAAGACAUUCUACACAUUUCAUUAAAAGGGUGUCUAUGUAAAAACGUGAAGACCCCCCUCAGAACUAGCCAAAAGGGGUCCCCACGCGGUGAUGCACAAGAGGGGUGAGAUGGAUAUUUGUAUGUGAGAGCACUCGGGCGUGCACGACGAAAAGUCAGCGACAACCCGGGUACCCCCAUUGUACGAUAAUGAUCCUUCCGCAGGUUCACCUACGGAAA